rnacentral:rRNA from 1 species
AUUGAACGCUGGCGGCAUGCCUUACACAUGCAAGUCGAACGGUAACAGGGAGCUUGCUCCGCUGACGAGUGGCGAACGGGUGAGUAAUGUAUCGGAACGUACCUUUCAGUGGGGGAUAACGUAGCGAAAGUUACGCUAAUACCGCAUAUUCUGUGAGCAGGAAAGCAGGGGAUCGCAAGACCUUGCGCUGAUUGAGCGGCCGAUAUCAGAUUAGCUAGUUGGUGAGGUAAAGGCUCACCAAGGCGGCGAUCUGUAGCGGGUCUGAGAGGAUGAUCCGCCACACUGGAACUGAGACACGGUCCAGACUCCUACGGGAGGCAGCAGUGGGGAAUUUUGGACAAUGGGGGCAACCCUGAUCCAGCCAUGCCGCGUGAGUGAAGAAGGCCUUCGGGUUGUAAAGCUCUUUCGGCCGGGAAGAAAUCGCAUGGGUUAAUACCCUGUGCGGAUGACGGUACCGGCAUAAGAAGCACCGGCUAACUACGUGCCAGCCGCCGCCGUAAGAC